UNUAAGUAAGCAGGCAGUGCAUGGCGU
rnacentral:piRNA from 1 species